AGUGAGAUGGUUCCUCCACCUAUGUCAGAUCCAAAGCUUCCUGAAGUCCCCAGAGAGAUUAUUACUGACAACGUUGACCUUUGAGUCGGUGCCUUGCCCCUAGUUUUCCAAAAUGAGGUAUUGAAGAUGAUAUACAGCCAUAAUCUUAGAUUAUGAUGAAGCUGCACCUAAACUUCUGCCAGUAUCGCUUGCUGCACUCAUCCAGCUGCGGAGAGACUGCUGGAAGGAAAGACCAUGUCCAGGGUCCCUCAUCCCCGUGCCAGGAUGCACAGGAGGGCUGCCAGGUAACCUUCUGACACCCUCAACCUCUGCUCAAAAACAGCUAAGUCAAACAAAGUACUCAGUGUUGUUGAAUAAACCUGUAUUACACAGAGUCUGCAUGUUGCCCAGAAGCAGUUAUCCAAGCUCUAUCUGCCAGAGAUGAAAAUGUUAAGGUUCUUUCUGGUCUGAGUCUGCAGCUGUGAAAAAAUGACAUCCAUACAGGUCCAAACAAGAGGGUUGCAGACUAAAUGAAGGACGUGGAGGUGCUCGAGAGAGUCCAGAGAAGGGCGACGAGGCUGGUGUGGGGUCUGGAGAACAAGUCUUACGAGGAGCGGCUGAGGGAGCUGGGGUUGUUUAGCCUGGAGAAGAGGAGGCUCAGGGGAGACCUCAUCGCUCUCUAUAGUUGUGUAUCCUCCCCUGUCAUCAUGGAAAUCUGGACCGACUUCAACACAUACUUAUUUCAAAACCUACAAAUAAGGCAAUCAGAUACUGAUGUUCAGAGCAUUUACCUCCCUGUUUACCCAAAUUUUGUUGAAGAGCCCUUGAGAUAAGUAGGAGUGCUGCAGCCACAGGUGAAAUCUCUCCUUUCUUUAGCCACCUGUAGAUUACUGUGAUAUAUUCUUGUUUGAAACGGCAGCUGCCCAAAAGGAGGUGCUUGUGUGAAUGCUACCUUGAGGGGGGAGACAGUGCAAGGGAGGAUGAAAACUUCUCUGACAUUUUUCAGAAUACAGUUAUGCCCUGAGAAUCACUACUUUACUCCUGUUCCGCAACACAUAAAUACACAUCAGCUGUGUGGUAAACCAAAUUCUCUCAGGAGCUUGUCCUGAAAGAGGAAAAGACAUGAUGAUUUAAAGGCUACAUCUGCAGUUCUUGCAGCUGCUUCGGUUCCUGCUGCUGGAGGAAAAUUCCCUGCAUCAACAGCCUCUUGACGCAGGGGCUUGGAGCAGCUCCUGGGGCAAAAACCCAAGGGAGUCAAGCACUGUCACUAGUCUGUUGGACAGGAGAGGAGUGGGAAGCCACCAUGCAGCUCACAGGAACGCGGUCACUUCUUCUGUCAGAUGCCCCUUCUGGCAUUACCUUUCCUGCUGCGUUGCAAGUGGAAGAGGACUCCAACCCAUGUAACACUAGUUGCAUUCUCCAGAAUCUAUGGAAAAUAAGAUUAGACCAGGCAACUUCCUAAACAAAGUGAAGGUCAGCAUGGUGUGGUACUGGCUUGGCAUACCCUUGUAUUAAAACUCACAGGAGGAGCUGUUGAGGGCUGUGAAGCCUGCUGGAAUGUCUUCAGUUGUAGGAAACACGUGCAACAUUUCUAUAAGAAGGCAGCUGAAGAUGUGAGGAUGUUCUGGAAUGAAGGCUUGCACAACCUCUGUGUUUUGACGUUAUUCUCCUCGAUGAUUGACUGGGAAUGUAGCAGCUCCAGCUACCGCAGCAGUGCGGUGUGAUUCCUUCCAGCCUAUGUGUAAAAACCACCUUCGUACUAAACAUUGCUCCUCCUUAACAAGCUAGUAACACAUCUAUGAUUUCAGUAAUUAAAAUAAGUUUUUAUUGCUUUUUGCUUAUAUUAACACCCCAGAGCAAGCAGACAGACAAGUCAGGUAGGCCAGCAGUUACCGGGACUCUGGGAACAGGGCUUAGGCUCCCUGCUUCCUCUGCAGUGAGAAAAAGAGGCAGGACCAGAUGCUAAAUGUAUUAAAUGCCUUAAUCCUAUGGAAUUUGAUGGAAAUUGGUGCCUAAAUACUGUGGAGAUCUAUUUUAAUCUCUAUAUACCUUAGUUCUUCACCUGUCAUAUAAGGGUAAUAAUUAUACAGCGAAGUAUAACAACAAAUGCAAUAAGGAAAACAAAGUGCUCAGCUACUAUAAUCGCUAAAUGUAAAAAAAAAAAUAUCUAAGGAAGACAAUAUGCUUAUUUCUUUUUUAUGAAUCUUGUUUAUGUAGUACUAUCCAAUUUUAGAGAGGAGUGUUUACCUGCUUGUUGAUUAAUUUACAGUUGUGUUCCCCAGCUGCAAUCAGAGCACAGUUUCUCUUUCAGAAGUUUAUUAAAAGCAAGCAUCAAAGAGAAG